CGGGGCGUAGCGCAGCCUGGUAGCGCACUUGCAUGGGGUGCAAGGGGUCGUGAGUUCGAAUCCCACCGCCCCGACCA
rnacentral:tRNA from 13 species